rnacentral:rRNA from 1 species
CCGGUUGAUCCCGCCGGAACCUACUGCUAUCGGGGUGGGACUAAGACAUGCGAGUCGUGCGUCUCUAGGCUAUGGUAGAGGCGCGGCAUACGGCUCAGUAACACGUGGCUAACCUACCCUUAGGACGGAAACACCCCCGGGAAACCACGCGCAGGCACGUCGUCAGUUUUUUCGACUCGCUCAAAGCAGAUCUAUGUACAUGAAGCUCAGGUCGAACUGCUUUCCUUGAUGCAGAAAUCCAACUGCGGAAGCUUUGAGCCAGCUAUUCAAACUAAUACAUUGUUGUCAACGGAGUAACAAGCGCUCUGGCGUGGCCCAAAACUGGGGUUAAUGCCCGAUGGGCGAGGAGGCUUGGAAUGGUUCGCCGCUGAAAGGACGUUGAAACCACGCUUUUCAGCGUCGCCUAAGGAUGGGGCCGCGGCCGAUCAGGUUGUUGGUGAGGUAAUGGCUCACCAAGCCUAUAACCGGUACGGGCCGUGAGAGCGGGAGCCCGGAGAUGGGCACUGAGAUAAGGGCCCAGGCCCUACGGGGCGCAGCAGUCGCGAAAACUCCGCAAUGCGCGAAAGCGUGACGGGGCUACCCCGAGUGCCGUCCGCUGAGGAUGGCUUUUCCUCGGUGUAAUGAGCCGGGGGAAUAAGGAGAGGGCAAGUCUGGUGUCAGCCGCCGCGGUAAUACCAGCUCUCCGAGUGGUAGGGAUGAUUAUUGGGCUUAAAGCGUCCGUAGCCGGUUUGGCAAGUCUCCCGUUAAAUCCAGCGACUUAAUCGUUGGGCUGCGGGAGAUACUGCUAGGCUAGGAGGCGGUAGAGGUCGACGGUAUUCUCGGGGUAGGGGUGAAAUCCUAUAAUCCCGGGAGGACCACCAGUGGCGAAGGCUGUCGACUAGAACGCGCUCGACGGUGAGGGACGAAAGCUGGGGGAGCGAACCGGAUUAGAUACCCGGGUAGUCCCAGCUGUAAACGAUGCGGGCUAGGUGUUGGGGUGGCUACGAGCCACUUCAGUGCCGCAGCGAAGGCAUUAAGCCCGCCGCCUGGGGAGUACGGCCGCAAGGCUGAAACUUAAAGGAAUUGGCGGGGGAGCACCACAAGGCGUGAAGCUUGCGGUUCAAUUGGAUUCAACGCCGGA